GAUAUGAACCUUCUGGCACAUGGUGCCCUACAAUUAUUGGCUCUUGAGCCCUACAGUUUUGGCACUCCGUGCCCUACAGUUAUAGUUUUUUCUUAUCUAACUAGGCGAUCCUGCUAAGAGUUUAUAGGGGCUGAGACAUAACUAAUAUGGUAUAAUUUAACUAAUGCUUGUCAUAUAAUAAGUUUUUAUUUUUAGUCUUUUUGAAUCUUGCUUAUGAAUAUGCAUGAUUAUUAAUAUUAUAAAAAUUGUUGUUUCAAAUGCAUGUUAUUUUCAUGCUUACAUAUUUUCUUUUAUGGAUGAGUUUAGC
rnacentral:misc_RNA from 1 species